GACGAACGCUGGCGGCGUGCUUAACACAUGCAAGUCGAACGGAAAGGCCCUGCUCUUGUGGGGUGCUCGAGUGGCGAACGGGUGAGUAACACGUGAGUAACCUGCCCUUGACUUUGGGAUAACUUCAAGAAACUGGGGCUAAUACCGGAUAGGAGCUCCUGCUGCAUGGUGGGGGUUGGAAAGUUUCGGCGGUUGGGGAUGGACUCGCGGCUUAUCAGCUUGUUGGUGGGGUAGUGGCUUACCAAGGCUUUGACGGGUAGCCGGCCUGAGAGGGUGACCGGCCACAUUGGGACUGAGAUACGGACCAGACUCCUACGGGAGGCAGCAGGGGGGAAUAUUGCGCAGUGGGCGGAAGCCUGAGGCAGCAACGCCGCGUGCGGGAUGACGGCCUUCGGGUUGUAAACCGCUGUCGCCUGUGACGAAGCGGGAGUGACGGUAAUGGGUAAAGAAGCACCGGCUAACUACGUG
rnacentral:rRNA from 1 species